GCUACCUUCCCACAAUCCCUAGGUUUACUUUGAAUUCACAGUCGACUUCGCGCCAGGGAAGGCGAUUGGUUGAGGGGGUCAGUGGGCGUGCAUCAAGGACCAUUGUGCGUUCUAAUUGGCAGACGCGGAUUCGCAAACUGUCGCGGGGCGGUGCUGGACGCAGGCGUAGUUUUGGGUUCUGCGCCUGCGUGCUAGACAGUAAGCGGUGCCAGUGGCAAGUGGGCUUUCACCUCCGCCGCGCGCCUCGCGAGGUUCUUGUCACUCUACGCGGAAUAGGGAAGGCAUCUCCUUGAGUUUGCGUUUUCGGGGAAACACACAGCAUUGACACUUUAUUUGAAUUAUCUACUACUGCUUCAGAAAAAAAAAAAAACAAAACUCAAACAGUGGGGCUGUUUCUAAGACGCUGGGAAUCAGUAACGAAGAAUAGUGAUCCGGGAGAUGAUCUGAGCUCAAAAACAGGCUGCUUUCAGGGAUAUUAAUAUUUUAUAGAUGCGAUGCCGGACAGCGAACUCAAACAGAGCCCAGCGGAUUGUCUGCGUUGGCAAAAUAGAACUGAUACUCUGGGGAGACCAAGGUUGCUUACUAGGCAGAGGGGGAUAGCAUGCUACUUUCAUACCUCCAUUUCCAUAUAUGGCAGAAGCUUAGCCGACUGCACACGCACAAAAAAGACGGAUUCUCCUUCUGGCCUGGAAGAAGCAUACAACGAUGUUGCAAAUUGCUUGUGAAAGGAUUUCUCCCUGUUGCUGAGGCUGGAGUUCAGUGGCUCUAUCUUGACUCACUGGAGCCUUCACCUCUGGGACUCAAGAAAUUCUUCCACCUUAGCAUCCUGAGUAGCUUGGACUACAGAUUCGAAGGUGGGAGACUUAAUGGACCACAGAAUACAAACUGCAUAUUUGGAAUGGGAGAGCAACAAAAUAGGAACCCAACAGAGCUGACUUCUUCUAAAUACUAUAUGAUGCUUGUCCGCUGA
rnacentral:lncRNA from 13 species